UUCCACGCUGUCGGUUCGCCGCCCGUCGGUGUCAACUGGCAUGUCCUGUGGAACGUCCUGCCGGUGGCGGUCCGGGCUUUCGGCUUGCGUAAGGGCCCACGCCCGAAGCAGGCCGAACAGUACCGGCCGCCGGUCCAAUCCCGCCACGGUGCUCUUCACCGAGUGUCGAGGUGGGCCGGCACGUUUACUUUGAACAAAUUAGAGUGCUUAAAGCAGGCUGGUGUCCGCCUGAAUACUGUGUGCAUGGAAUAAUAGAAUAGGACCUCGGUUCUAUUUUGUUGGUUUUCGGAACCCGAGGUAAUGAUUAAUAGGGACAGGCGGGGGCAUUCGUAUUGCGACGUUAGAGGUGAAAUUCUUGGAUCGUCGCAAGACGAACCUAAGCGAAAGCAUUUGCCAAGUAUGUUCUCGUUAAUCAAGAACGAAAGUUAGAGGUUCGAAGGCGAUCAGAUACCGCCCUAGUUCUAACCAUAAACGAUGCCAGCCAGCGAUCCGCCGAAGUUCCUCCGAUGACUCGGCGGGCAGCUUCCGGGAAACCAAAGCUUUUGGGUUCCGGGGGAAGUAUGGUUGCAAAGCUGAAACUUAAAGGAAUUGACGGAAGGGCACCACCAGGAGUGGAGCCUGCGGCUUAAUUUGACUCAACACGGGAAACCUCACCAGGCCCGGACACCGGAAGGAUUGACAGAUUGAGAGCUCUUUCUUGAUUCGGUGGGUGGUGGUGCAUGGCC
rnacentral:rRNA from 1 species